ensembl:lncRNA
UCUGGAACGCUCGCAGGAGCCUCAUUAAAAGAGAUGAGGCCGCCUUUGAUCGCCGCGCUGCUCGCAGGACCUUUCCCAGCCCGGCCGCUUCCCUUUCAUCCCCGCAUUCCCGGGAAACCUGGGGGAUCCCGGCCCCAUCCCCCCGGUGAACCCCUGGAUGCUCAGCAGCCGCCAGGGAGGUGGAGAAGCCGGAGGGAUUUUGGGGAGCUCGGCAAGGACGCACGGAGGCGGUGCUGGAACUCGGGGGGAAAGAUCAAAACCAUCCUGGGGAGAAGAAAGGAAAAGGUUGGGAAGAAAAAGGAGGAGGAGGAGGCCAAGGGCAGCUGCGCCCUCCAGGCAGAGCUCUGACGUGGCUGGGUUGGAUAAAUCAGGGAUAAUUAAUGAUCCCUGCAUCCCACCAGGGUCCCCUGUCCCAUCGUUGUUCCUCCAUCCCACCACGGUCCCCUUGUCCCACCACGGUCCCUCCAUCCUGCUCCACAUCCCUUUAUCCCACCAAGGUCCUCAUUGUCCCAUCAUUGCCCCUCCGGCCCAUCAUGAUCCCCUGUCCCACCAUUGUCCCAUCGUUGUCCCUCUGUUCCACCACACCCCCUUGUCCCACCGCAGUCCCUUGUCCCAUCAUGGUCCCCACAUUCCAUCAUUGUCCUUCCCUCUGUCCCACCAAGGUCCCCUUGUCCCACCAUGGUCCCUUGUUCCAUCACUGUCCCACCGUGGUCCCUCCAUCCCACCCCACAUCCCUGUGUCUCACCAAGGUCUUCUUGUCCCAUCAUUGUCCCAUCAUUGUCCCACCAUUGUCCGUCUGUCCCAUCACUGUCCCUCUGUCCCACCACUGUCCCUUGUUCCAUCACUGUCCCACCGUGGUCCCUCCAUCCCACCAUGUCCCUUUGUCCCACCAUGGUCCCAUCAUUGUCCCAUUGUUGUCCCUCUGUCCCACCAAAUUCCUUUGUCCCAUCACUGUCCCUCCAUCCCACCAUGAUCUCCUGUCCCGUCAUUGUCUCACAAUUGUCCCUCUGUCCCACCAUUGUCCGUCUGUCCCCCCACUGUCCGUCUGUCCCAGCACGGUCCCUCCAUUGCCGCUCCAUUGUCCCCCCACUGUCUGUCUGUCUGUCCCCCACUGUCCGUCUGUCCCACCACGGUUCCCUGUCCUCCCAUUGUCCCCGUGCUGUCUGUCCGUCUGUCCCAUCACUGUCCAUCUGUCCCGCCGUGGUCCCACCAUUGUCCCACCAUGAUCCCCUGUCCUAUCAAUGUCUGUCUGUCCCAUCAUUCUGCCCCCACUGUCUGUCCAUCUGUCCCCCCUCUGUCCAUCCCCCCACUGUCUGUGUGUCCCCUCACUGUCUGUCUGUCCCACCAUUCUGCCCCCACUGUCUGUCCAUCUGUCCCCCUGCUGUCCGUCUGUCCCAGCACAGUCCCUUCAUUGCCCCACCCUUGUCCCCCCACUGUCUGUCCGUCUGUCCCCCCAUUGUCCCCCCUUUGUCCAUCUGUCCCACCCUUGUCCCCCCACUGUCUGUCCAUCUGUCCCUCCUCUGUCCAUCCGUCCGUCUGUCCAUCUGUCCCCCCUCUGUCCGUCUGUCUGUCCCCCCACUGUCUGUCUGUCCCCUCACUGUCCAUCUGUCCCACCCUUGUCCCCCCACUGUCCAUCCGUCCGUCUGUCCCCCCUCUGUCCGUCUGUCCCCCCUCUGUUC